rnacentral:lncRNA from 1 species
UCGCGCCUCCCAGUAGAUCACAAUCUGGUUCAUUCCCCUUACUAAAGCUAAUUUCUGGUUCUAGCUGAUGUCUCCAGUAAUCUUCAAUCUGUGAAGGAUUUUUUUUAAUUUUUUUGGUACCGAUCUGAGCUGGUCUUGGAGUCAUUUUUGCUAUUUGACUGAUCUGGUUCCAGUUUGUAGUGGUUUUUGGCAUCCUUGGUGGUGACUAAAGAGAUUUUUCUAUCUCGUUGAGAUUAACUUCUGGGUAUUGUUCUUUCUUGUCUUCAGUUAUUUUUUAAUAAUGACAGGAGUAAAGAAAGUAGUUGUUUCAAGUUUGGAUAACCAUUAAUCAAC